UACGUAGGGGGCUAGCGUUGUCCGGAUUUAUUGGGCGUAAAGAGCGUGUAGGCGGCCAGGUAGGUCCGUUGUGAAAACUCGAGGCUUAACCUCGAGACGUCGAUGGAAACCAUCUGGCUAGAGUCCGGAAGAGGAGAGUGGAAUUCCUGGUGUAGCGGUGAAAUGCGCAGAUAUCAGGAAGAACACCCGUGGCGAAGGCGGCUCUCUGGGACGUGACUGACGCUGAGGCACGAAGGUCAGGGGAGCAAACGGG
rnacentral:rRNA from 1 species